CGGAAGGCCCUUCGGGGUACUCGAGCGGCGAACGGGUGAGUAACACGUGAGCAACCUGCCCCAAGCUUUGGGAUAACCCUCGGAAACGGGGGCUAAUACCGAAUAUUACUUCUGGCCGCAUGGCUGGUGGUGGAAAGUUUUUCGGCUUGGGAUGGGCUCGCGGCCUAUCAGCUUGUUGGUGGGGUGAUGGCCUACCAAGGCGACGACGGGUAGCCGGCCUGAGAGGGCGACCGGCCACACUGGGACUGAGACACGGCCCAGACUCCUACGGGAGGCAGCAGUGGGGAAUAUUGCACAAUGGGCGGAAGCCUGAUGCAGCGACGCCGCGUGAGGGAUGACGGCCUUCGGGUUGUAAACCUCUUUCAGCAGGGACGAAGCGAGAGUGACGGUACCUGCAGAAGAAGCACCGGCCAACUACGUGCCAGCAGCCGCGGUAAGACGUAGGGUGCGAGCGUUGUCCGGAUUUAUUGGGCGUAAAGAGCUCGUAGGCGGCUUGUCGCGUCGACCGUGAAAACUUGGGGCUCAACCCCAAGCCUGCGGUCGAUACGGGCAGGCUAGAGUUCGGUAGGGGAGACUGGAAUUCCUGGUGUAGCGGUGAAAUGCGCAGAUAUCAGGAGGAACACCGGUGGCGAAGGCGGGUCUCUGGGCCGAUACUGACGCUGAGGAGCGAAAGCGUGGGGAGCGAACAGGAUUAGAUACCCUGGUAGUCCACGCUGUAAACGUUGGGCGCUAGGUGUGGGGGGCCUCUCCGGUUCCCUGUGCCGCAGCUA
rnacentral:rRNA from 1 species